rnacentral:lncRNA from 1 species
GGAGCUCGUCACCGAGCAGGCCCUGUACGACGUCGGUCUCAGCCCGGUCCCUCGCUUAGGUUCGUUUCUCUUCUCCUUCCCUCUUUCUUCUUUCCUUUCUUUUUUGGUGCUGAUCAUCUGUCGCUGUUUGCAGAUAUGCCACCGAGGGCAAGAUUGACGGCGGCCGACGUCUGGCAGUACGCUGCGCGGAAAAGGCCGGCGCAAGGGGCCGAACCCUCGCGGCCUCCCAAGAGGCCUCAGGUGGCUUCGUCGAGCGAGCCGGCUGCGGCGGAG